rnacentral:ncRNA from 1 species
UGACCCCAUUGCUUCCUCAGCCCGAACGGCAUCGAUGUAACGACUGGAUAAAACAAGCUUCUUAUCCAUAACUCAGG